rnacentral:rRNA from 1 species
CAUGUCUUUUUGAGUAUUAUUUAAAGUCUGACCUGCCCAAUGAUUUUUUAAAUGGCCGCAGUAUUUUGACUGUGCAAAGGUAGCAUAAUCAUUAGUUUUUUAAAUGGAAGCUGGAAUGAAGGGUUUGAUAAGAAAAAGGCUGUCUCAAUUAUAAAGUUAAAAUUUUAUUUUUAAGUUAAAAAGCUUAAAUUUUUUAAAAAGACGAGAAGACCCUAUAGAGUUUAAUAAUUAAUAAUUUAAUUUAUAAAAAGAUGGAAAUUUAAUUAAAUUUUAUAAUUAUUUUAUUGGGGUGAUAAAAAAAUUUAAUAAACUUUUUAAUUUAUAAACAUAAAUUUAUGAAUAGUUGAUCCUAUAUUUUAGAUUAAAAGAAAAAAUUACCUUAGGGAUAACAGCGUAAUUUUUUUGUAGAGUUCUGAUCGAUAAAAAAGAUUGCGACCUCGAUGUUGGAUUAAAGUUAAAUUUUGGUGUAGAAGCUAAAAAUUUAGGUCUGUUCGACCUUUAAAACU